UACGAAGGGUGCAAGCGUUGCUCGGAAUCACUGGGCGUAAAGGGUGCGUAGGCGGGUCUUUAAGUCAGGGUGAAAUCCCAGGGCUCAACCCUGGAACUGCCUUUGAUACUGUCGAUCUGGAGUAUGGAAGAGGUAAGUGGAAUUCCGAGUGUAGAGGUGAAAUUCGUAGAUAUUCGGAGGAACACCAGUGGCGAAGGCGGCUUACUGGUCCAUUACUGACGCUGAGGUGCGAAAGCGUGGGGAGCAAACAGG
rnacentral:rRNA from 1 species